AAAGAUUAAGCCAUGCAUGUCUAAGUACAAACGAUUUAAUCGUGAAACCGCGAAUGGCUCAUUAUAACAGCUAUAAUUUACUUGAUCUUGACACAAUCCUACUUGGAUAACUGUGGUAAUUCUAGAGUUAAUACAUGCAUUAAAGCUCUGACCUCACGGGAAGAGUGCAUUUAUUAGAACAAAACCAAGCGGCUUCGGCUGUUUCUGGUUGACUCAUAGUAACUGAGCUGAUCGCAUGGUCUUGCACCGGCGACGUGUCUUUCAAGUAUCUGCCGUAUCAACUUUCGAUGGUAGUGUAUCUGACUACCAUGGUGAUCGCGCGUAACGGAGAAUAAGGGUUCGGCUCCGGAGAGUUCGCCUGAGAAAUCGCGAACACAUCUAAGGAAGGCAGCAGGCGCGAAAAUUACCCACUCUCAGCACGAGGAGGUAGUGACGAAAAAUAACGAGACCGUUCUCUUAUGAGGCCGGUCAUCGGAAUGGGUACAAUUUAAACCCUUUAACGAGUAUCUAUGAGAGGGCAAGUCUGGUGCCAGCAGCCGCGGUAAUUCCAGCUCUCAAAGUGCAUAGAAUUAUUGCUGCGGUUAAAAAGCUCGUAGUUGGAUCUGUGCCAUAGGACGUGGUCCACCUUCGGGUGCGUACUACGCUCCUAGGCUUUUUGCUGGUUUUCCCGUCGUAGCCUUCACUGGUUGCGGCGGGUGGCUGGCGAGUUUACUUUGAGAAAAUCAGAGUGCUCAAUACAGGCGUAUCGCUUGAAUGAUUGUGCAUGGAAUAAUAGAAAAGGAUUUCGGUCCUCUUUUAUUGGUUUUGUGGACUGAGAUAAUGGUUAACAGGGACAAACGGGGGCAUUCGUAUCUCUGCGUGAGAGGUGAAAUUCUUGGACCGUAGAGAGACGCCCUACUGCGAAAGCAUUUGCCAAGAAUG
rnacentral:rRNA from 1 species